rnacentral:lncRNA from 1 species
CUAAAAGACAAAAAACAUUUUAUUUUAAUAAAGAAUAUCAAUAAUACUAAGAAUAGUAGUUUUCUUUUGGUAAUUUCAAAGAAUUACAAGCAAGGAAUAAAUGUGACUAUCUCCAAGUUGCAAAUGUGAGUUAAAAUUGUUUGAAAGAGCAUUUAUUCACUGAAAAUAAACUGUACACAUACACAAUAAGGGAUAUUGAUGAACUAUUAAUAGUUAUUAUCUCGAGGAAGUAUAUACAUACAGAAUUAUGCACUUAAAAUAAAAAUUUUAUCCUGUUAGUUUGCAAGUUCUUUCUACAUGAAAUGCAUGAACAGAUCAUGCUUUCUUGGUUUUACUGUGUUGCUCACGUAAAGAUUAUUCAGGUGAUGGCUUGGCACGGUGGCUCAUGCUUGUGAUCCCAGCACUUUGGGAGGCCGAGGCAGGCAGAUCACUUGAGAUCAGGAGUUCAAGAUCAGCCUGGCCAACAUGGUGAAACCCUGUCUCUACCAAAAAUACAAAAAUUAGCCGGCUGUGGUGGCACAUGCCUGUAGUCCCAGCUACUUGGGAGGGUGAGGCAGGAGAAUCGCUUGAACGUCGGAGGCAGAGGUUGCAGUGAACUGAGAUCACACCAUUGCACUCCAGCCUGGGCAACAGGGUGAGACUCUGUUUAAAAAAAAAAAAAUUUCUUCAGGUGACCCAACAUGGAGGAGUGAGCCGUCAAAGUCAGACGAUCUAAGCUUCCAGACUGUUUUGAACCUCCCAUCUUCCAUUUCUUCUUGGAAUCUGCAUAUCAAAAUUAAAAUAUUUUGGGGGACCAGUUUUACUGAGUGGAAUUAAACUAUCCAGCAUUUUAAAAUAUGUUGGACAUGUUUUUAAGAGGAAGAUCUUGUUCAGCUUUUGGCUCCUGCUUGAGCAAGCUCAAGGAGCAAAUGCUGAAACAUCUCCCCACUGCAAUGUCAACUCAUUAAUGAGAAGCAAAGUCCAACUGAAUUCAGCUGCAAAUUUCAGCAUUAACAAAAUCUGAGCCAACUUCAGGACAAAGCCGAAAGGAACUAAUGUACCAUAAAUUUACCCAUGCCAACCUCUACGCUGCAGACAAGGCAAGGAGAAUGUGUGGGUUCUGAGCAAGGGCAGGGCAGGGAGGGUUCUCUCCUUCAGGAUGUGAUCAUUUCAAUGUGCCUAAUUCAGUAGAAAUGUUUUUAUUCAAAUGAAGAGAGGGCUUUAGUUAUCCUGGAUGGGGAAUUUAUUUUACCACUACAGAAAAGGCACUGGGAAUUAAACAUUUUUAAGAUUACAAGUAAAUGGAUUCUUGGAGGCAAAUGGAUUGUUGAUACCAGUUUUCUCCCAUUCAUUUUUUUUGAAGAGGAUAAAAUAGACUUUCCUUUGUGGCCUGGGAAAGGAAGUAGCUGGGGCGGGGUGCCAUGCUGUGGCAGGCUGUAGGAAGAUAGGCAGGCCCUUGUGGUAGAAGCCCUUUUGGCUGCUUGCAUCAGUGGUUACAAGGAAGAAAUCAGGGAUACAUUUGCAAUAAAGAGAAAUAAUCUGCUGGGCACGGUGGCUUACAUCUGUAAUCCCAGUACUUUGGGAAGCCGAGGCAGGCAGGUCACCUGAGGUCAGGAGUUCGAGACCAGCCUGACCAACAUGGAGAAACCUCAUCUCUACUAAAAAAAGACAAAAUUAGCUGGGCGUGGUGAUACAUGCCUGUAAUCCUAGCUACUUGGGAGGCUGAGACAGGAGAAUCGCUUGAGCCCAGGAGAUGGAGGUUGCCGUGAGCCGAGAUAACGCCAUUGAACUCCAGCCUGGGCGAUAAGAGUGAAACUCCAUCCAAAAAAAAAAAAAAAGAAAUAAUCUUUGGUAAGAUUCUGUUUUGGGAUUUGCUGAAACCCAAGAAUGUUAGCUGCUUUGGCUAGCUGAGUGGCUCCCAGAGGUGACAGCUGUCCCAGUUUAAAAGCGUGUUUUUUUUUUUUUUGAGAUGGAGUCUCACUCUGUCGUCCAGGCUGGAGUGCAGUGGUGCGAUCUCGGCUCACUGCAACCCUUGCCUCCUGGGUUCAAGCACUGUCCUGUCUCAGCCUCCCAAGUAGCUGGGACACAGGCGUGAGCCACUGUGCCUGGCCUUUAAAAGCUUUUCAGUUGAAAGGUAAUCUUGGAACACAGGUGGGUUCCAGUUGCUUGGAGCAUGAGGAACACCUGAUUGAAUGUCCUAACGUCAGACGUGUGUCUGCAAGUGGAAAGUGAAGCCUGCUGCAGGAAGAGGGAGGUGGUUGGUGCUUCCUAGAAGGGGUGGGCCUUUAAUGACUGCACCUGCACAGUGCUAUCAGGUCCUUAUUGUGGGACCGAAUCACUGACAUCCUAAUGAAAAAAUUAGCUAGGCCAUUUGCAGGUACAAGAGCACAGGUGGUCCUUGUGCUCUUUUUUGAUUCGUUUGAAGGUAGGUGUGAUUUGCCUUCAGGACUUCAUCAGCAACAAUAGGAUUUGAAUAAGUGGAUAGGCUGCUGUAUGUGGUUGUGUACAAUUUUUAAAGGGCUCUUGUACACAGGGUGGGGUGUGGGCAGGGAGAACAAAGCAUGGUCCCCAGUGAUGUUUAGUAAAAAUAUGUCUAGAAAGUUAAUAAAACUCUGGUCUGUGCUUAAGGCAAUAACAACAUGAGUCUCUGGCAUGAAUCUGUGUCCUGUUUAGAGGACAGGUUGUUUGUAAUCAACCCUUAUUCUGUCAUCUAGAGUUCCGUGUUUUAAGCAAUGAAGACAGAAACUCUAUCAAAAGUUUCAUGCCUCAGAAAUUUGUUUUAUCUUUACUUUGUGAGUUUAUAAAACUUCAUGUACCCUGAAUCUUUCUUAUGUCUUCGUGGAAAAUAAUUUUGGGGGAGCACUUUUUUCUCACCCUAAUAAACAUGAAAAAGACUUUCAGAACAGAAGUACUUUAGAUCUAGCAGAUCUAGCAAACCAGAUGCUGCUUUUCUGCUUUUGAUUCUAAAAUAUGCAUAUUCCUUUCCUGCAGCUGGGCAGCACAUGACAAGAAAAAGAAAAGACUUCUGACAGCCCUUUUAUUCAUCCAGUAAAUGUGAGCAACUCAAAUAUUAGCCUAAGGAACACUCAAAAGGUAGCAUCUGAGAGACAGGCUAAGUUGAUGGUUCUUCAUUAGGCAGCUAUGUGUUUGGAUAUAAAGACUGAUGAUGAACUUGGUUGUCUCCGAGACCAGUACUUCCCCUAUUUCACUGUGUAUACAAAUCACUUGGGGGUCCUGUUAAAAAUGCAGAUUCUGAUUCAGUAGGUCUGGGCUGGGCCUGAAAUUCCACAGUCCUUGGUAGCUCCCAGGUAAUGCUGACGCUGCUGGUUCCCAGGCCACAUCUUGAGUCACAAGGGGCUGGACAAUUUCUUGUUCUAACAAAGGCCUGGAGAAGGCAAUUUUCUGGAAUGGCAGAUGGAGACACCCUCAGAUUUCCCAGAAAUAUGAACAGAAAAAAGACGAUUUAAUGACUUAAAAGUCAGAACAUGGCACAAAAUAAAUUGUAAUGUUAAAAAAUGCAUAGAAUAGGCUGGGUGCAGUGGCUCACGCCUGUAAUCCCAGCAUUUUGGGAGGCCAAGGCGGGCGGAUCACAAGGUCAGGAAGAUUGAGAACAUCCUGGCUAAUACGGUGAAACCCCGUCUCUACUAAAAAUACAAAAAAAAAUUAGCUGGGCGUGGUGGCGGGAACCUGUAGUCCCAGCUACUUGGGAGACUGAGGCAGAAUGGCGUGAACCUGGGAGGGGAGCUUGCAGUGAGCUGAGAUCGUGCCACUGCACUCCAGCCUGGGCGACAGAGCGAGACUCCGUCUCAAAAAAAAAAAAGCAUAAAAUAAUAUUCCAAUAAUUAUGACACAGGCACACAGAAUCACCAUUACAUAAGAUGCAGAUUGUAAGAACGCCAUCCCGUGAGCAGGUCAGCCUGCUUCCCUUGACGAUCAUUUCCUCUGCAGAGAUUACAUUAGGAGGAACAUGAACUGUUGCAAUUGGGAUAAAAUUCUGCUGAGAUGUACUUAAACAGUAAUUACUGUUUACUCAGAGCAGAAAACAAUUUAAACCAGGUGAUGAGAAGGAUGUAGAAUUCAUUAGUUUUCUUGCCCACAGCUCCUCUAGGAGAAAAGAAUCUGAUUGCUUGAAAAAAAAUUGAUUUAAAAAAUGGCAAAUGGAGGUAAUUUUAGAUAUGUAUUCACAAAGCUGCCCCAAACAUACUGCCCUAUUCAGAAGUUGUUUCUAUUUUUUUUCCCCCAAAGAACUAACAUAAGCUCAAAAGAUUGAGACAGACUUGCACAGAAUCACUGGGAGGCUAAGUGUGCUGAGGUUGCUUCAAGGCAUGACUCAGGUGUGGGCCCUGGAGACCCUCUCCUUGUAGAGCCUCACACAUCAUUUCCCCUGUAACACUGAUCAGAUUCUGUUUGGCAAAGAUCACAGCAUAUACUGGGAGGCUUGGAGGACAUGGCUAAAAAUACAGCAAAAUUACUCCAGUUAUAGUAUCAUGGAACUUCUGAGUCACUGCAGAACUCAUAGAACAAAAUGAAAUGAUCAAAGUAGAACAUAUUUAAAACACACGCACACACUGAAGCAACCCUAGUUUUUUGACAUAAUAUCCUCUAAGGACAAAAACAUAGAUUGUGACCAAGACUAAUGGUGCAGAUUUUACUCUAAUUUCCGGUAGUGGAAUUUCAAAGCCAAGAACUAUUGUUGAACUUGAAUCUCACCAUUUCACAGAGCAGCCAAUCCCGCUUUGACUCAUUCGUCCCCUAACAGAAAGAGAUCUUCAAAAUAGCACGGCGGAGCUUCUGAUGGCUGAAGUGCUGCUGAGUAGAACUUGUGCUUUAAUUUCCUUUCUGGUCUUUGUUGACCGUUGUGGCACUGUGAACUGUUGCUUUAUCUCGUAUUUUUUUUUCUGUUAUUGUAGUUGUACAUUUUAAAUACAAUCUUUCUAUUGAGAAAUAUCACACUGACGGUGAAUAAAUAUUAUUCAUGCAAGUAACUAUCCUUCCAGCUAUCCCCAAAUCAUCCUUUUCAUGUUCCUGCUCAAUGAAACUUUCAAAAUCAUUUAUUCACUCAUAUUUCUUGGCAAGUUUUCCUUGAUUGCCUGCUGUGUAGAAGCAGAGAAAGUGACAGGGUGAUGUCCUCCAUUGCUAUUAAAGCCCCAAAGGGCUUUGCCCAGGGUUCCGCUUGUUUUUUAGUGAACUGUGAGGUGGAAUUACCCAGGAUUAUCACAUGGUUAGCCCUGUUGACUGACUCUGCCUAGAUACCCAGAACCCUGGAGUGUUCUUCACGCUAACAGUCCUUUCUUCCUGUGCUUCUAGAGACCAGGCAGAAGUUACCAACUUCCCGGAAUAAUUGUCAGCUGUGCGUUUUGGUUGUUUGGGUUUAGCUUCCUCUCCGUUCUCUAAAUAUUUUCUUUUUCAAAGUGCCUCACUUCCUUUGUUAGAAACUAAGUUUCCCUGACCUUCUCUUUUCCUUUCUGUUUCUAAUGGUCCUUGAAAUGAAAAUAGUUCGUUGAGUUUCCUUAUGUGUACUUGGGCAGCCUACUCAAUGACUCCUGGGAGAAUAAUAGCUGGUGACCUGUGGCGCUCUCCGUUGAGAGAGAAUGCGCAGUUUGCAUUUUGGCAGCUAAACAUAGGGAUGGAUUUAAAAACGAAUGUGUAAGUAGCUGGAUAAUAAUUUCCAGUAUGAUGUCAACAUUUCUUUAAAACAAAGCCUUAAUUUCUAAUCUUCUGUCACUUUGGUCUCAAGGAUGAGUUUGCCUUUAUGAAUGUAAUAUGGCAAUCUUGAAAGCCUUACCUCAAGUCAAAUAUUUCUUCUUGAAGAUGUUCUACUUUGCAAGGUACUGCCCACAGGAACGUAUACCCUAAAUAAUGACUUUUUUUGUUGUUGUUGGCUUCAAAUUCUGGAUUUAGUUUUAUUUUCUCCUAAAAUUGUGAGUGUAGUCGUGAUUGCUUUUUUACUACCAUGUCAUACUAUUUCCUCCUUGGGGGUCCUAUGCAAAUUGCGUAUGGUCCCAUCCACUUCAUUUGGUACUUCCCUUAUGAACUAGAAAUCUUCCAAAUGGUUCUUUGCAUAUCCUGAUCGGACAUAUUCUCACUGAAGUCUCAGGACCAACCCCCGCACCUUGUCAUAUGUGUAUGACUUAGUUUUUGACUUCCUGGCUUAGUGCUUUCUGGUUUAGGGUUGCUAUAAUUAUUGUCUUCAGCAAUUGUUCAUUUUUCUUUCUUUUUAUCCAUUACUUCUUUUAUGUCGAAAUUUCCCCACGUGAUCAAGUAAUUAUUCUUUGUAACUUUUCUUGGCAGAGAUCAGCCCGGAUUUCUUACUGUGGAUGUGGCUUUGAUUUGUGUCCUAGUCCUUUUUUGUUCCCAAAAUAGCCCAAGGAGUCCAUUCCUUCUACCAAACAACCAACCAUCUGAGUGAAAUAAAUAUGUUUAGCUACUUGAUUGAGCCACUAUUAGAUGGGGGUUAAAUUGCCAUAUACUGUGGAUUUCAGGCAUCUUAGUAUGUAGGUCAAAUUCUCUAGUGUAUUACUAGUUUGAUGGAUUACUUUAUUUUUAGUGGCCUAACUACAUGAAGUUAUGUGUUUAAAAUGUGGCUGGAAUCUAUAGGAUAAACAGUUGCAACUCUAAUAACAUGGCUACAAAUCUCCAGCUUAAUAUGUGAUAAUAAAUACAUUGUAGUAUUGGGUUGAAGAGGAUUGUAUAGGAAGCAGAAAAACCGAGAUCUGUCCCAGCACUGCUACAACACACCUCUUUUUACCCAUCUAGGCCUGAGUUUCUCAUUGGUACAAUGAGGAAUUCAACUAUAGUUUCUGAGGCCUUGUCUAGCUCUGAAAAGCUAGGAUUCUACUUUCAAAUGGAUAUCAGCUGCCACUUCUUGACUUUGGAAGACGGUGUAGACCAUUAAAGGAUCCUUCUUCAAAUUUCUAUGUCUCUUCUUUUUUUUGGAGAUAGAGUCUCGCUGUUUCGCCCAGGCGGGAGUGCAGUGGUGCGGUCUCGGCUCACUGAAAGCUCCGCCUCCUGGGUUCACGCCAUUCUCCUGCCUCAGCCUCCCGAGUAGCUGGGAGUACAGGUGCCCGCCACCACGCCCAGCUAUUUUUUCUGUAUUUUUAGUAGAGAUGGGGUUUCACUGUGUUAGCCAGGAUGGUCUUGAUCUCCUGACCUGGUGAUCUGCCAGCCUUGGCCUCCCAAAGUGCUGGGAUUACAGGCGUGAGCCACUGCGCCGGGCCUCUAUGUCUCUUCUUAUCUUUGGUUUCAGAAGACAGUUUAAUCUUAUAGCAGAAAACACUUUUUAGUGAAACAAACUGGAUCUUGCCGUGAAACAAGGAAUAACUGAUUAAUUUGGCAGAAUGACAUCAACUUAUUUAGGUUGCUUUGUUCUAGAUUGUUUUAUUCAGUAAUUAGCUCUUAAGACCCCUGGGAGCCUGUGCUCUACCCAGACACUAACAACAGUCUCUAUCCAGUUGCUGGUUCUGGGUGACGUGAUCUCCCCAUCAAGAUCAACUUACUUCCUGUGGCCCAUUAGGGAAGUGGUGACCUCGGGAGCUAUUUGCCUGUUGAGUGCACACACCUGGAAACAUACUGCUCUCAUUUUUUCAUCCACAUCAGUGAGAAAUGAGUGGCCCGUUAGCAAGAUAUAACUAUGCAAUCAUGCAACAAAGCUGCCUAAUAACAUUUCAUUUAUUACAGGACUAAAAGUUCAUUAUUGUUUGUAAAGGAUGAAUUCA